rnacentral:tRNA from 1 species
GCGGUGUAGCUCAGCUGGUUAGAGCGUCGGAAUCAUAAUCCGCAGGUCCGGGGUUCAAAUCCCUGCACCG